CGCAGCCGCGGUAAUUCCAGCUCCAAUAGCGUAUAUUAAAGUUGUUGCAGUUAAAAAGCUCGUAGUUGAAUUUCGGGAUUAGUACGCUGGUCAUGCCUUUGGUAUGUACUGGUGUUACUGAUUUCUACCUUCUGAAGAACCGUUAUGUCAUUCAUUUGGUGUGGCGGGGAAUCAGGACUGUUACUUUGAAAAAUUAGAGUGUUUAAAGCAGGCUCGCGCUUGAAUACAUUAGCAUGGAAUAAUGAAAUAGGACGUUGAUCCUAUUUUGUUGGUUUCUAGGAUUGACGUAAUGAUUAAUAGGGAUAGUUGGGGGCAUUAGUAUUCAAUUGUCAGAGGUGAAAUUCUUGGAUUUAUUGAAGACUAACUACUGCGAAAGCAUUUGCCAAGGAUGUUUUCAUUAAUCAAGAACGAAAGUUAGGGGAUCGAAGACGAUCAGAUACCGUCGUAGUCUUAACCAUAAACUAUGCCGACUAGGGAUCGGAUGAUGUUAUUUUAAUGACUCAUUCGGCGCCUUAAC
rnacentral:rRNA from 1 species